GUCCACUCUCUCCACUGGCGUGCCACUGAUGAUGAGGGGUUUGUAAUUCCUUGCCUGCUUUGUAGUGAAGUAGGUGUAGGUGCUCUCUCUCCCUCUCUGCGGGGCUGACUGGAGGACAAGAGACAGUUGCCAUGGUGAAGUGGGAAGAGUGGUCUUCAUAUGGCCACAGGGGGCGGAGAUGAGCCGAGACCCAGUUUGACCCAGUUAACCAAUCACAUUAAGAUUGCUUACAGCCUGGGGGUGGCGCUCUUUGUCCCUGCUGAGCUGAGGAACAGACACUCCAACCUUUAACAGCUUAAUAGGUUUAACAGAAGAUCGUGUCUUCUCUCAUGAAAGAACCAACAAACUGGUGCCGACAAAGACCAUCGACUGGAUAAAGAGAACCGAGGCGGCUCAAAUGGAAAGGCAGGAACCAUUUGGUGUUGUUAACGCUUCCGUUUGGUUAAAAAUCCCGCCACGAGCGACCGAUCGGCGGCUGUCAGAGAAUCCUUAACAGUCGGAGUAAUUAAAAAAGGAAAUAGUUGUUUCGUGAUGUCACCUUUGUGUUGGUGUGAAAGUCCAAUCGAGGAAUUGAUUUUCCCAUUCAGACAGACUGGGAUUACCCACAAUGCACCUCUGUGAUAUUCUGCAUAUUUAUAGUUGAGCUGUUGGUAUAUAUUCGCACUAUCUUUGUAACAUGUUGUGUUAUUUCGGUUCAUGUCGUUCAGUGUGGCUGUUAUUGCUGCCGUGGAGCGACGGCGAGCACACAGGGCUGUAAAUGUGACUUCUGUUUGAACACAUUCGGCUCGUCGCACUUCAGUGAACUACCGCCAGCUCUUGGUAGGCCUGAGCUAAAGGACGAUCUGGCUCCAUCCGGUGGAAGAAAGUGAUACUGCACCCCGGGGGACGCAGGCUUCAAGCUCGUGUCCUCUACCAGAGGCCAGGGAGCCUGAGGGUCCUGCAGUAUCUCAGCUGUUCCUAGGACUGCGCUCUUCUGGACAGAGAUCUCCGAUGUUGUUCCUGCGAUCUGCUGGAGCCACUCACCUGGCUCAGGAGUCACCACACUGGGACCAUUGCUACCUUCACCCUCCAGCUCUUCUCUGAGCACUUGGUUCUUCUGCAGCUUCUCAUAUUCCUUCUUCCUGAUGUUGGUAUCACUACAGCCGUCUUCCUGUGCUUCUCCACCACCACUACGUCCGGUUGGUUAGCCAUCACCAGCUUGUCUGUCUGUAUCUGGAAGUCCCACAGGAUCUUAGCUAACUACCACCCGGGGGGCGUCUCCAUCCCUGCACCUGUGGUCUUGCCCGGUCUGACAGACCCCAGCUUCGUGGAUCUUGAGCUCAGAGCUGCCAUGAUUACUGCCUCUGUCAGUGUUUCUCUUAAACAGCUCAACUGUCUGAUGGAGGUGCAUGCUGUUACUGAAACAGUGAAGCCCUCUGUUUGUCACAGAUCAUUUCAAUCAGAUUAUAAUGCAUUACCUUUACUGUUGUGAUUUGGUAACAUGACUGUUUAUGUGCCGGAGGGUGGACAGCCUCACGCCAGCUCAUUAGCGGCCGUGUCAUUCAGCGUUCAUGAACCACUUGCUUUUGAAAAUGUGUGAAAAUAUGAAAUGUGUAAGUCUGAUAAAAAUCUUUUUAAGCUCCGAUGUUUCUGAAAAAUGAUGUCAAAUGUUUUUUCAUGAUGUUGAAAGGCUGGAGUGGUAUGUUAACGAGGUCGUAUUUUCCCUCGUGGAUGUUCUUCCUGGCUGAUUUGAUUGGUAAUCGUUCAUGUUUGUUUACUCGGACACAUGGGAUCAAACUCUGUUAAUGAAUUUAUGCUUUACGAUGUACGGAGCGGUCCUUGGUGGCAGGUGUCAGAACUUCCACCACCACCAUCAUCAUCAUCACCCGGUUGCAAAACAGACAGACGCACACAUGGAGGUCAAAGUAGACGGGCAGCUGGAGCCAAUCGGGAGCUUCACGCUCAUCAGCAUCAGCCUGGACCUCGACACAGGUGACGGCCCGACAGCGAUGUGUGACCAGUAAAAUGGUAAAUGGCCUGUAUUUGUAUAGUGCUUUACUUACUUUACAGUACUAGUCACACACAGGUGUGUGUGUGCACAGACAAACCUCUGCUGACAGGAAGUCAUGGCUGCUAUCAGGAAGCUGUCAGACUAUAAUCUCCAUGACUGUGACAGCACGGUGGUGGAGUGGGCGGAGCUAGUGUCUGGAUUCCUGCAUCAGGAUUGGUCUCUUUGGAAGCACCAACUAAGGAACCUUCACGUCAUCCAGCAGCAGUCCUGAAAAAUGGCCACCAUCUUGGAUUUUCAUGUGGCUAAUCAGACAAAAGUAAAGCAUGUCAAAGGUUCACGCCGCUGCUCGUGUCACGUGUCGCACGAUUCGGUUUGACGCGAUCUCCUCCAAGAUUGCGCUGUGCGAGUGCGCCCCCUAUUGGUCAUGUCCCAGACCUCCUCACAUCAGCUCUGGUCGUUGGGUCCAGCACAGAGAAGGUCGUGGCACUGACAUCCACCUACAACAAACAGCCAAUGAGUCCGAAACCUGCAAGUCAUAAUGUUAGCGCUGCCGUAAUCACCUGAACUCAUCAUCACACCUGCUCAUACCGAUGCCCUGUGUCCUUCAGAGCAGUGCAUGCUGGGAUGCAGAGAGACAUUCAGACUAAACACUUGUGACAUGUGACAUCACUUCCUGCUGAUUAAUGCCUGCCCUUUCUAACAGGAAGUGUUCUGCUCCAGUCUGCAGCUGUACGUGCUGAAUGAGACAGUCCUGGGCGUGGUCAGAGGCAGGAAGUGGACCGACGUGGUUCAGGAGGCUUACCAGGACUUCCUGGGUCACAUGACGCACCUGUCCAACCUCAGGUGCAACCCCGCCGACCCCGAGGACCAGCUGGGUUCGGCCUGCUAUCGUGAGGUGCUUCCUGCAUCGCUGUGACUCCUCCCCUUCAGAGCUUUCAGCUCCACCUGGAUCAGUUCCAGCUGCAGGUGUCUGACCUGGACUGGCGGCUGGUGUCUGUGCUUAGCCAGGCCCCGGAGGACUGCGGGGAGCCGCUGUCCACGGUAAAGGACUGCUCCAGUCUGAUCUGGUUCUGUGUUGCAGCUGGUGAACAUGUUUGGUUUUGUCCUGGACCGCCCCCUGAUCCAGCACCACCUGCGCCCUCACCUGGCGUGGCUGGUGAAGCUGGUUCUAAUAGAUCUGGAUCAGACCAAGCUGCUGUUCUACCGUCAGAGGAAGGAGGCGGAGACAGCAGAGUCAGCCCAACCGCCGCUGCCCAACUCAGCUGGACUCAGCAGCUCCGCCUCCGAGCCCUGUGUGCCAUGGAGGGCUACCGCACCUGUAAGGCUGACACACAGACUCACACGCACACAGCACACUCAGGCUCCUCCUCCUCCUUCCUGUGUUUGGUGUAAACCUUACAGCUGUUAUUAAAAGAUGGAAAGGUUGGGCUCUCCAGGAUAGUAGAGUUUGUGACUUAGAUGCUGACUGCUGGUGACCUUUGGAUGAACUCUGCAUUUGUCCUGGCCGCUGGACUCGGCAGGUAACAGCUGUGUCCUGUUCAGGUGUGCUGACUCAGGUGAGUCCCGGCUGGUCCAGCAAAGGUCUGAGGAGCUCAUGGACCUUCUGUAGGACUUCAGAGACACCGUGAGGUCAGAGUGGAGCUGUGAGCUGGAUUCAGGCGCCAAAUUCAUCCUCGCUGAGUUCGAGCUCGGCUGCAGCCUCAAGGUGGUGCUUGGCAUCCUGCAGGCGGAGCUUCCUCUGAUCCAGGACCAGCUGAACCACCUGAACCUGACCCUGUCAGAGCUGGAGAGGAACACCUGGAGCAUCACAGGUGACAUAUAUCACAUGAUAUCAUAGGCACAAAAACAUGGUGGA